AGCGAACGGUAAGUGGAUUUCUUCGGAAAGAAGCUUUGCUGACUUAGCGGCGGACGGGUGAGUAACGCGUGGGUAACCUGCCUCAUACAGGGGGAUAACAGUUAGAAAUGACUGCUAAUACCGCAUAAGCGCACGGGACUGCAUGGUCCAGUGUGAAAAACCGAGGUGGUAUGAGAUGGACCCGCGUCUGAUUAGCUGGUUGGCGGGGUAACGGCCCACCUAGGCGACGAUCAGUAGCCGACCUGAGAGGGUGGCCGGCCACAUUGGGACUGAGACACGGCCCAAACUCCUACGGGAGGCAGCAGUGGGGAAUAUUGCACAAUGGGGGAAACCCUGAUGCAGCAACGCCGCGUGAGUGAAGAAGUAUUUCGGUAUGUAAAGCUCUAUCAGCAGGGAAGAGAAUGACGGUACCUGACUAAGAAGCCCCGGCUAACUACGUGCCAGCAGCCGCGGUAAUACGUAGGGGGCGAGCGUUAUCCGGAUUUACUGGGUGUAAAGGGAGCGUAGACGGUUCUGCAAGUCUGAAGUGAAAGCCCGUGGCUUAACCGCGGAACGGCUUUGGAAACUGUGGAACUGGAGUGCUGGAGAGGCAAGCGGAAUUCCUAGUGUAGCGGUGAAAUGCGUAGAUAUUAGGAGGAACACCAGUGGCGAAGGCGGCUUGCUGGACAGUAACUGACGUUGAGGCUCGAAAGCGUGGGGAGCAAACAGGAUUAGAUACCCUGGUAGUCCACGCGGUAAACGAUGAAUGCUAGGUGUCGGGGAGCAAAGCUCUUCGGUGCCGCCGCAAACGCAGUAAGCAUUCCACCUGGGGAGUACGUUCGCAAGAAUGAAACUCAA
rnacentral:rRNA from 1 species